rnacentral:misc_RNA from 1 species
GGGCCAAAUGGGGAAAAAAUGCAUGGUCAUUACAAUUUAAAGACAAUGUUUGAUCUCCUUCCAUCUAUGAUUUACCAGACCAAUGCAACUCUAUCAAUAUCCAUUAGCAUGAAAGUAAUGGUGUAACUGCAAAUAAUGUCAUGCUGCUUAAAUGCUUAGACGGUAAAAAUCUUUCUCACCUUCUUCAUAUUCCUACGACAUAUAGGGCAUGUACCAGCAGCCUCCGCUAUCCUUGUUCCACAUGCAAAACAGGCAACACAGUGCCCACAUGGGAGGAAGAAGCAAUCCCUUGGAGCAUCAAAGCAAAUUGCACAAAGACGCCGUGUAUUAUUGUCAUUUUCACCAUCUUUUGAUGACUUACCUUCCAAGGAACCUGAUGCUAGAAAAUAUUCAAGAUCCUCCUCAUCAUUUGAGACUGAAUCAUAAGAAGAGCCCCAACUUGAGAGAUCAUCGUCCUUAUAUGAAAGAAGAGGAGCUCUCACAGGUUCCGCCUCCCCAUACUGAACUCCAGUUCCUUCUUCAUGAAUACAUCGUAACUUGUUCAAGAAGUUGAAUGCUGACAAUGUAAGCACAGUCAUUGCAGCUAUGCCAACAAUAUAUGUUACCCAUCUUGGUCCAUAGGUCAGUGUGACAUACCACUCAUUACUUGGUGAAUCC